ACGGGUAUGUUGCAUUUGAUAUUACGUUGCGAGCUCUUUCAAGUGGAAAUGUUAUUCUUGUGUUGUUGAUGGUCUUGACGUUUCUCAUGUAUUGAACUUCCUGUGUUUGCAGAGUUCCUUGGGUCGAUGAGAGCUUGGUUCUUCUUGGUUACUGUGCAUUUACAGUCGUUCAUGAGAUCACAACCUUUUGUUUUAGUUUUCGUUUCAGACGCGCUUGCAAAGUCGAGAAUGGUGCAGCUCAAGGGAGGUUUCUUGUCGAUACAAAAUGCAAACAGGGGAUAUCGACAUUUGCCUGUUUUCGAUACAAAACGUAGCUUUAUGUAUACAUGACAGGAACGUAGUCAUGAACAAUGAUGAAUAAUGUGAUGAUACAUGAUACUGAAUCUUCGCCAUGGUCUCACUUAAAGAAAUGAAACCACCGUUGUGGUUGCGGUUG